AGAGUUUGAUCCUGGCUCAGGAUGAACGCUGACGGCGUGCCUAACACAUGCAAGUCGAGCGAUUCUCUUCGGAGAAGAGCGGCGGACGGGUGAGUAACGCGUGGGUAACCUGCCCUGUACACACGGAUAACAUACCGAAAGGUAUGCUAAUACGAGAUAAUAUACUUUUAUCGCAUGGUAGAAGUAUCAAAGCUUUUGCGGUACAGGAUGGACCCGCGUCUGAUUAGCUAGUUGGUAAGGUAACGGCUUACCAAGGCGACGAUCAGUAGCCGACCUGAGAGGGUGAUCGGCCACAUUGGAACUGAGACACGGUCCAAACUCCUACGGGAGGCAGCAGUGGGGAAUAUUGCACAAUGGGCGAAAGCCUGAUGCAGCAACGCCGCGUGAGCGAUGAAGGCCUUCGGGUCGUAAAGCUCUGUCCUCAAGGAAGAUAAUGACGGUACUUGAGGAGGAAGCCCCGGCUAACUACGUGCCAGUAGCCGCGGUAAUACGUAGGGGGCUAGCGUUAUCCGGAAUUACUGGGCGUAAAGGGUGCGUAGGUGGUUUCUUAAGUCAGAGGUGAAAGGCUACGGCUCAACCGUAGUAAGCCUUUGAAACUGGGAAACUUGAGUGCAGGAGAGGAGAGUGGAAUUCCUAGUGUAGCGGUGAAAUGCGUAGAUAUUAGGAGGAACACCAGUUGCGAAGGCGGCUCUCUGGACUGUAACUGACACUGAGGCACGAAAGCGUGGGGAGCAAACAGGACUAGAUACCCUGGUAGUCCACGCCGUAAACGAUGAGUACUAGCUGUCGGAGGUUACCCCCUUCGGUGGCGCAGCUAACGCAUUAAGUACUCCGCCUGGGAAGUACGCUCGCAAGAGUGAAACUCAAAGGAAUUGACGGGGACCCGCACAAGUAGCGGAGCAUGUGGUUUAAUUCGAAGCAACGCGAGGAACCUUACCUAAGCUUGACAUCCUUUUGACCGAUGCCUAAUCGCAUCUUUCCCUUCGGGGACAGAAGUGACAGGUGGUGCAUGAUUGUCGUCAGCUCGUGUCGUGAGAUGUUGGGUUAAGUCCCGCAACGAGCGCAACCCUUGCCUUUAGUUGCCAGCAUUAAGUUGGGCACUCUAGAGGGACUGCCAGGGAUAACCUGGAGGAAGGUGGGGAUGACGUCAAAUCAUCAUGCCCCUUAUGCUUAGGGCUACACACGUGCUACAAUGGGUGGUACAGAGGGCAGCCAAGUCGUGAGGCGGAGCUAAUCCCUUAAAGCCAUUCUCAGUUCGGAUUGUAGGCUGAAACUCGCCUACAUGAAGCUGGAGUUACUAGUAAUCGCAGAUCAGAAUGCUGCGGUGAAUGCGUUCCCGGGUCUUGUACACUCCGCCCGUCACACCACGGGAGUUGGGGGCGCCCGAAGCCGGAUUGCUAACCUUUUGGAAGCGUCCGUCGAAGGUGAAAUCAAUAACUGGGGUGAAGUCGUAACAAGGUA
rnacentral:rRNA from 1 species